UUAAGCGACUAAGCGUACACGGUGGAUGCCCUGGCAGUCAGAGGCGAUGAAGGACGUGCUAAUCUGCGAAAAGCGUCGGUAAGGUGAUAUGAACCGUUACAGCCGGCGAUGUCCGAAUGGGGAAACCCAGUGCAAUUCGUUGCACUAUCGUUAACUGAAUACAUAGGUUAACGAGGCGAACCGGGGGAACUGAAACAUCUAAGUACCCCGAGGAAAAGAAAUCAACCGAGAUUCCCCCAGUAGCGGCGAGCGAACGGGGAGCAGCCCAGAGUCUGAAUCAGCUUGUGUGUUAGUGGAACGGUCUGGAAAGUCCGACGGUACAGGGUGAUAGUCCCGUACACCAAAAUGCACAGGCUGUGAACUCGAAGAGUAGGGCGGGACACGUGGUAUCCUGUCUGAAUAUGGGGGGACCAUCCUCCAAGGCUAAAUACUCCUGACUGACCGAUAGUGAACCAGUACCGUGAGGGAAAGGCGAAAAGAACCCCGGCGAGGGGAGUGAAAAAGAACCUGAAACCGUGUACGUACAAGCAGUGGGAGCACCUUCGGGUGUGACUGCGUACCUUUUGUAUAAUGGGUCAGCGACUUAUAUUCUGUAGCAAGGUUAACCGUAUAGGGGAGCCGCAGGGAAACCGAGUCUUAACUGGGCGUUAAGUUGCAGGGUAUAGACCCGAAACCCGGUGAUCUAGCCAUGGGCAGGUUGAAGGUUGGGUAACACUAACUGGAGGACCGAACCGACUAAUGUUGAAAAAUUAGCGGAUGACUUGUGGCUGGGGGUGAAAGGCCAAUCAAACCGGGAGAUAGCUGGUUCUCCCCGAAAGCUAUUUAGGUAGCGCCUCGUGAAUUCAUCUUCGGGGGUAGAGCACUGUUUCGGCUAGGGGGUCAUCCCGACUUACCAACCCGAUGCAAACUACGAAUACCGAAGAAUGUUAUCACGGGAGACACACGGCGGGUGCUAACGUCCGUCGUGAAGAGGGAAACAACCCAGACCGCCAGCUAAGGUCCCAAAGUCAUGGUUAAGUGGGAAACGAUGUGGGAAGGCACAGACAGCCAGGAUGUUGGCUUAGAAGCAGCCAUCAUUUAAAGAAAGCGUAAUAGCUCACUGGUCGAGUCGGCCUGCGCGGAAGAUGUAACGGGGCUAAACCAUGCACCGAAGCUGCGGCAGCGACACUAUGUGUUGUUGGGUAGGGGAGCGUUCUGUAAGCCUGCGAAGGUGUGCUGUGAGGCAUGCUGGAGGUAUCAGAAGUGCGAAUGCUGACAUAAGUAACGAUAAAGCGGGUGAAAAGCCCGCUCGCCGGAAGACCAAGGGUUCCUGUCCAACGUUAAUCGGGGCAGGGUGAGUCGACCCCUAAGGCGAGGCCGAAAGGCGUAGUCGAUGGGAAACAGGUUAAUAUUCCUGUACUUGGUGUUACUGCGAAGGGGGGACGGAGAAGGCUAUGUUAGCCGGGCGACGGUUGUCCCGGUUUAAGCAUGUAGGCUGGUUGUCCAGGCAAAUCCGGAUAAUCAAGGCUGAGGUGUGAUGACGAGGCACUACGGUGCUGAAGUAACAAAUGCCCUGCUUCCAGGAAAAGCCUCUAAGCAUCAGGUAACAUUAAAUCGUACCCCAAACCGACACAGGUGGUCAGGUAGAGAAUACCAAGGCGCUUGAGAGAACUCGGGUGAAGGAACUAGGCAAAAUGGUGCCGUAACUUCGGGAGAAGGCACGCUGGUGUGUAGGUGAAGUCCCUGCGGAUGGAGCUGAGACCAGUCGAAGAUACCAGCUGGCUGCAACUGUUUAUUAAAAACACAGCACUGUGCAAACACGAAAGUGGACGUAUACGGUGUGACGCCUGCCCGGUGCCGGAAGGUUAAUUGAUGGGGUUAUCCGUAAGGAGAAGCUCUUGAUCGAAGCCCCGGUAAACGGCGGCCGUAACUAUAACGGUCCUAAGGUAGCGAAAUUCCUUGUCGGGUAAGUUCCGACCUGCACGAAUGGCGUAAUGAUGGCCAGGCUGUCUCCACCCGAGACUCAGUGAAAUUGAACUCGCUGUGAAGAUGCAGUGUACCCGCGGCAAGACGGAAAGACCCCGUGAACCUUUACUAUAGCUUGACACUGAACAUUGAGCCUUGAUGUGUAGGAUAGGUGGGAGGCUUUGAAGCGUGGACGCCAGUCUGCGUGGAGCCAACCUUGAAAUACCACCCUUUAAUGUUUGAUGUUCUAACGUUGGCCCCUUACCGGGGUUGCGGACAGUGUCUGGUGGGUAGUUUGACUGGGGCGGUCUCCUCCCAAAGCGUAACGGAGGAGCACGAAGGUUAGCUAAUCCUGGUCGGACAUCAGGAGGUUAGUGCAAUGGCAUAAGCUAGCUUGACUGCGAGCGUGACGGCGCGAGCAGGUGCGAAAGCAGGUCAUAGUGAUCCGGUGGUUCUGAAUGGAAGGGCCAUCGCUCAACGGAUAAAAGGUACUCCGGGGAUAACAGGCUGAUACCGCCCAAGAGUUCAUAUCGACGGCGGUGUUUGGCACCUCGAUGUCGGCUCAUCACAUCCUGGGGCUGAAGUAGGUCCCAAGGGUAUGGCUGUUCGCCAUUUAAAGUGGUACGCGAGCUGGGUUUAGAACGUCGUGAGACAGUUCGGUCCCUAUCUGCCGUGGGCGCUGGAGAAUUGAGGGGGGCUGCUCCUAGUACGAGAGGACCGGAGUGGACGCAUCACUGGUGUUCGGGUUGUCAUGCCAAUGGCACUGCCCGGUAGCUAAAUGCGGAAGAGAUAAGUGCUGAAAGCAUCUAAGCACGAAACUUGCCCCGAGAUGAGUUCUCCCUGAGACUUUAAGUCUCCUGAAGGAACGUUAAAGACGAUGACGUUGAUAGGCCGGGUGUGUAAGCGCAGCGAUGCGUUGAGCUAACCGGUACUAAUGAACCGUGAGGCUUAACCUU
rnacentral:rRNA from 2 species